rnacentral:rRNA from 1 species
UACGUAGGGACCAAGCGUUGUUCGGAUUUACUGGGCGUAAAGGGCGCGUAGGCGGCUUGUCAAGUCACUCGUGAAAUCUCUGGGCUUAACCCAGAACGGCCAAGUGAAACUGACAUGCUAGAGUGCAGAAGGGGCAAUCGGAAUUCUUGGUGUAGCGGUGAAAUGCGUAGAUAUCAAGAGGAACACCUGAGGUGAAGACGGGUUGCUGGGCUGACACUGACGCUGAGGCGCGAAAGCCAGGGGAGCAAACGGG